AGCUAACGUUGGCGGCGUGCCUAACACAUGCAAGUCGAACGCGUUCCGGGGGGCAACUCCCGGGAUGAGUGGCGAACGGGUGAGUAACACGUGGGUCAUCUCCCCUCGAGUGAGGAAUAAGCCCCCGAAAGGGGGUCUAAUACUGCAUAACGCGCGGGAACAUAAGUUCCCUCGCCAAAGCCGUAAGGCGCUUGAGGAUGAGCCUGCGUCCUAUUAGCUAGUUGGUAGGGUAAUGGCCUACCAAGGCGAAGAUGGGUAGCCGGCCUGAGAGGGUGAACGGCCACACUGGGACUGAGACACGGCCCAGACUCCUACGGGAGGCAG
rnacentral:rRNA from 1 species